rnacentral:lncRNA from 1 species
GCAGCCCCUCCUGGAAGCAAGACUGCCUCCUCAGCAUGGCCAGUAACCCUCUGGGCUGUGCCUCCUGGAGAAAGGCCUCAUUCAGUCCCAUGACUGACAAGUGUGACUAGCAAAGGUUCAGUCACUGCUGUUUGUGCAGAAAUUUUCAGCCUCAGAGUGGCAUGAAAAUCUGAAUGGCUGUGCCUGUCAAAUGUUGCUUGUUUUGACCCCAGCAGAUCCUUCUAGGUUUUCUGCAGUUUAAUUAUCAGCACUCAUGACACUUUUAGGUAACCUCUGAUUUGGUGUGCUCAACUGGGCUGGAAGACUCUUAGCAGAGCUGAUGAAUGAAGCCCAGGACAUAGAAAGGCAGCUGACGGAAUAUUUUCCCCACCAAUGCCAGGAAGCUGAAGGUCUGCUCUUGUGAUUUGCAUCUGGCUGUGAUGUUCUCUCUCUGCCCCCCACCCUCACCCCAGCACAGAGCAAUCAACCUUGUCCCUGUUCUC